rnacentral:antisense_RNA from 1 species
CUGUUUGGAAAACCUUUUUCUGAUGCGUG